rnacentral:rRNA from 1 species
CGGACGGGUGAGUAACGCGUGAGAACUUACCUUUUGGCGGGGGAUAACAUCGGGAAACUGUUGCUAAUACCCCAUAAUGCUGAGGAGCGAAAGGGAAACUGCCAAAAGAGAGGCUUGCGUCUGAUUAGCUAGUUGGUGGAGGUAAAUGCUCCCCAAGGCGACGAUCAGUAGCUGGUCUGAGAGGAUGAUCAGCCACACUGGGACUGAGACACGGCCCAGACUCCUACGGGAGGCAGCAGUGGGGAAUUUUCCACAAUGGGCGAAAGCCUGAUGGAGCAAUACCGCGUGAGGGAUGAAGGAUCGUGGUUCGUAAACCUCUUUUCUUAACGAAGAAGUUCUGACGGUAGUUAAGGAAUAAGCACCGGCUAACUCCGUGCCAGCAGCCGCGGUAAUACGGGGGGUGCAAGCGUUGUCCGGAAUGAUUGGGCGUAAAGCAUCUGUAGGUGGUUUCUAAAGUCGACUGUUAAAGCCCAGGGCUCAACUUUGGAUAAGCGGUCGAGUACUUAGAAACUUGAGUUUGGUAGGGGUAGAGGGAAUUCCUAGUGGAGCGGUGAAAUGCACAGAGAUUAGGAAGAACACCGAAGGCGAAAGCACUCUACUGGGCCACAACUGACACUGAGAGAUGAAAGUCGGGGGAGCGAAAGGGAUUAGAUACCCCUGUAGUC